GGCUGAGGCCGUGACUGGCGCACAUCAAGGUGGGUCACCACCGGGGAGCGGCCGUGCCGACCUGCCGCGCGCCUGGGCGAAUCCG
rnacentral:ncRNA from 2 species